rnacentral:antisense_RNA from 1 species
AGACCCAGGCGCGGCGUUUUACCUGCAGCGGCUGUGCUCGCCCCGCCGCGACCCCCGCAGGACGGAGCCGGAUCCCCCUGCACUCGGGCGGACCUGGGACCCUCAGAGGCGAGCCGGCUGCCUCGGGUCACACAUCCGCAAACUCCGGGGGCGGGCUCACCAGGACGCCGCCGACCCCCCACGACCCCCAGCCCUCCCGCUUCCGUGGAAAGCCGCCCCGACGACCCCUGUGCGGGCUGUUGAGGGGCCGCACCCCGCCGACCGCUGUGGGAACACCUCCGCGCGUGCGGCGGGGACGCGGCGAGUCCGGGGCAGGAAGAACGCACGGAUGGAGACAACAGGAAGGAAAGAGACCUUCCUCGUCACACUUGGGCCGCAGGAGAACAGGCAGCGGCCCAGGAGGAUCCAGGGUCCUGAUGGUGGUUGAGAAGCUGGUUCUUAGUGAUCACUCAGAAACGUCGGCCUGGCCUUGUGGGGUCAGACCUUGCAUCUCAGUCAGCCCAGGGAGAAGAAGAAGAUGGUCCACACCCAAGUGCAGGGAACAUCGUGGCAGCCAGCUGGGUGCCUGCGUCCAGGCAAGGACACCUCCCGCAUCAGGGAAACACACGUUUCUGGAGUGAGGAGGCUGAAGGCAGGGCCCAGAGGAGAGCCGAGCCAUGGAAGGAGGCGUGUGCAUGGAUGGUGAGCUAGAGCAGGUGCAGGUGCCUCAGGGAGGAUGUGUGGGAUGAACUGACUCAGGGAAACCAUAAGAAAUGCUUUCACCAAACAGGAGAAACCUGAAGGUCUGGAUCCAGAGCCUCAGAUCUUACACUGGCAGCACACAGGGACACAGCAGCUGGACUGGCAGCAGCGGGGCUUGCAGCAGCUGGACUGGCAGCAGGAUGAUCCACAGCCUGAGGAGCAGCAACAGGGCUUACAGCAACUGCACUGGGAGCAGCCACAGGAGCCACAGCCCCCCUUGGAACCCCCACAGGAGCCACAGCCCCCCUUGGAACCCCCACAGGAGCCACAGGCCCCCUUGGAACCCCCACAGGAGACACAGCCCCCCUUGGAGCCCCCACAAGAGCCACAGCCCCCCUUGGAGCCCCCACAGGAGCCACAGCUGGGGCAGGAACAGGCUGGCACCCAGGAGCACACGGGCUUGCAGCAGCAGACAGGCACAUAACAGCUGGAGCCACAUCCCCCACAGCUGGAGCCGCAGCCCCCACAGCCGGAGCCACAGCCCCCACAGCCGGAGCCACAGCCCCCACAGCCGGAGCCACAGCCUCCGGAGCAGCCACAGCAGCCCAUGGUUCUGGUGGAUUGAGGGUGGAGCAGGUAGAGGAGCAGGUGAGAGGGAGGUGCAGGUGUGGAGCUCCCUGAGCCUGGGCUCUUUAUAUACCUGUCCAGAUGUCAGGCAUGACACAGGGUCCCUUUCUUGUGACUGUUUACACUAUUUUUCCAGAGCUCUAUUUUUUUCCUCUUUGCUAGUGACUUCCUCCUGGCUCAGUUGAGCAUCUACUUUCUUUGUUUUCUAAAUUUGUCUUUUUCCCCAUUUGUUUUGGCCCCUACAAUGAAAACCUCAGCUCCAGGCUGUCUGGUUCUUCCUGCAAAGCUCCGGGGUGCCGGUCACCUGCUCUCUGCUGACCACAUGUGACCAAUGGGCAACAGCCUCUGCCCACGUGCUCUCAUCUUUCCUGUGUUGACUCCCUCAAUAAUAUUAAUUUUACAUUUUUAGAUUUCAAAAUUAUCCACGAUCUUUAUACUCAUGCCAGUCUCAGCUUUCCGGGUGUGUUAGACCAUUCUUUGCAUUGCUCUAAAGAAAUACUUGAGGCUGGGUAAUUUAUAAAGGAAAGAGGUUAGAAUGGCUCAUGGUUCUGCAGGCUGCACAAGCAUGGCACCCACCUCUGCUCAGCUUCUGGGGAGGCCCUCAGGGAGUUUUCCUCACGGUGGAAGGCGAAGCAGGAACAGGCACGCCACAUGGUGAGAGUGGGAGCAAGGGGUGAGGAGGGGCCACACACUUGUGAACAACCAGAUCUGAGUGAACACACUCAUCGCCAAGGGGGUGGCACUAAGUCACUCAUGAGGGAUCCACCCCCAUGACCCAGACACCUCCCUGCAGGCCCCUCCUUCAACACUG